UAUUUAUUUCUUUUGUUUUGUUCUGCUUUUUUGUGUGUGUGUGUGUAUGUGUGGUAAGAACACUAAAUGUUAGAUCUAACCUCUUUACAAAUUUUUAAGUGCCUAGUAUCCAGUUGUUAACUAUGGGCACUAUCUUGUACUGAAUAGAUUUUAAAGGCCCAUUUUGCUCUUUGCAGUCCCAGAACACAAGAGAGUGUCACUAAAAAUGCAUUGAAUGAAUGAUUGGUUUGGAGGGGACAUGGUGAUUUCAGUUUGUAAAUGCGAAUUCUCCAAGGGCAGAUGUCCAAGAGGUAGCUGAAUGAUGAUAAGAGACAUUGAGCCAGGUGUGGUGGUACAUCCCUGUAAUCCUAACUACUCAGGAGACAGGAGAAUCACAAGUUCAAGGCCAAUCAGCAAGAUUGUGUCUCAAAAUUUUUUAAAAAGGGCUGGGGAUGUAGCUCAGUGGUAGAGUGCUUGCCUGGUAUGAGGGAGGCCCUGGAUUAUAACCCACGCAUUGUAAAACAAAACCAAAAAGUGUAGUUACCAACUAAUGCUGGGCACAGUAUGGACCCCUCCUGGAUUCUCAUUCCCUCUGCUCAUCCCCACUCACCCCACAGUCAAGUCUGCACCUGCCUCCUUGGAGACCUCCCCACCUCCUCUUUCACCCCUGUUAGAUUAUCAUGAAGCAGGGAACAGUGCAAAUGAAGAGUUCUCAUACUCCAACUUCAUGGUAACUCAACCUCAGGUCCUGACCAUUAAUAAGUUACAACUGGAUAACAAGAGAGACUGGGAGAAAAGAAUAAGAAGGAAGAACAGAUCUUCCUAUGAUGCUAUUUUACAUUCAUUGUGGCUGAAGCUCUAGUCAUCUUCCUAGUCUGCUUAAAAACCCUCUGUCCAAAAACUGACUGGAAGAAAUAUCUCAAAAAAAAAAAAAAAAGCAGAGUAAAGGGCUGGGGAUAUAGCUAAGUUGGUAGAGUGCUUGCCUUGCAUACACAAGGCCCUAUGCGUGCCCCUCCCCCCCCAAAAUAGAGUAAAAAUGCAGAGAUGACAAUUAUGGCAGUAUAGAUGAGAACAUGUCUUGCAAAAGAAAAUAAAACAUCCCUUCACACCCUCAGGAUAAAGUCCAAUCUCUUUACCCCAGACUUUAAAAAAAAUUUUUUUGGUGGAGCUGAGGAUUGAACCCAGGGCCUUAUGCAUGCAUGCAAGGUAAACACUCUACCAACUGAGUUAAAUUCUCAGCCCCUGUAUUGUGGCCUUUGAGGCCCUUUGUACAGUUCCAUUCCCCUCCACCUCUGCUUGGCUUCUGCAGUACAGAACCAAGUUCCAAACAGGCCCAGCUGUUUCCCCUCACCCUGGGAUACCCUGCUCCUGGCUAUUCACUCUUCAAGGCUUAGCCCAGAGCUACCUCCUUCAGGAAGCCCACUGACUCCUCCACCCCUCCCCACUCCAUGAUACUAUGCUGUCCUUUGUCACUGCCCUAAUCAUACAGAGCUGCCCUCAUGUAUGCCUUUCUCCCCUCCUGGCCCAUGAUUUACUUGUGGACAGAGACCAGGCUUGACCUCAGCCCAAGGCCAGGCAACCCAGAAGAUGAGACCCCCCCAGAAGGAUUACUGAGAGUCUGAGAGGCUUUUGGGGCACAGCUAAGAAGGUAGAACACUGAAGAGCAGGUAGAUGGCUGUCCUUGGUGACAAGUUUCAGGGGGGGGGAUGGGACAGAGGUCAGAGGGAUUAGGGAUAAUGGGGAAGUGAGGAAGUGUAGAUAGUGGGCAACCUCUUCAGUCAAGGGAGCUGCCCUUCCUCUGUCCUUCCUUUCAUCCUGUUCAUAGCAAUUCUCUUGUCAGUUUCUUCUUUUCCAGCUUGAACAUUCCCUUCUGGAAAUGUGAGUAUAUACCUCUCCCCAGGAAUCCCAAAUUUCCCUAUGACCCCAAACCUUCCUCAGUAUCCCAAACCUCUUCAUCAAGUGUUCUCUAAAACUUUUCCUUAUGAUUCCUAAAAGUUCCAUUAAUCCCCCAAAUCUCACUUCAAAAAAGUUUCCCUGCCUCACAACCUGGAGGAGUGUGGAUUGUCCCUUACCUAGGCCUUUUCCAGGGUGGGGAAGCUGUUGGUGGUCUCCCUUGAUGGUCACCAGGGGAGGGGAGGACAGAUUUCUCCUUUAUACUGUCAAUUCCCCACCCCUUGUACCUCCCGCACACAGCUGCUCAGAAAUAUGACACUCCCCCUUCUAUUUCUGGAUGUCUCCUCAAGGCUCAGGAACACAAGUCUCUCUGCCCAGUCUGAUGGACCCAGUGCUCUGCCCAAGAAAAAAGGAAUCCCUAAAGCCAGAUGGAAGGUCGGCUGAGGCAUGGAGGAUAUUGCCUGGGAAAACUACCUCUUCAUUGGGUUUGGUCCUAUGCCCUGCUCACCAAGGAAGAAAAAGAGAGGGUGGCUUCAAUAACCCUGGCUUCAGGAGGCUUCUCUUUGCAUUUUAUUCCUUUCUUGUGAAUAUCGACUCAUCUGAGGUGGAAGGAGAGAUUCAGCAUAAGGAGGUUGGGUUCUAGGUCCCAGCUCCAACUUUGAUUUGCCAUGUGAUCCGGAAGGACUUUCUACCCUACUCAGCACCCCUGUCCAUCACUUGAGUACUUGUGGGGAUUUUAGGUCCUAGGAUGGGAGAAGCAGUUCCUCAAACCCAGAGGGUGGAGAGAGAACAAUGCAAUGAUCUCAGUAAGUCUGGUCCUUGGGGGCUGUUCCAGUAGGCCAAGCUGUCCCCACUCUAUCCUCUGUCCCUGCAACUGCAAACACUCAUGUCCCUCCAGGCAGAGGGGCAGGUAAGAUAUGUAGGCAAGGUGCUAUUUUUCACAAUUAUGGUAAAUGGUAGACUGCCUCCUGAUUCUCUAACCUAGGAGGGCCCUCAGGUGGCUAGUCUCAUUGGAAAGGAGCAAAAGAACUUUUCUUGAAGCUAUUUCCCUAUCAGGCAUUCUGUCUGGGAAGAUGCCAUUGUUUCCAUCUCCCUCCCUACCUGCCCCAUGCCUGGGCACAUUUUGUCAUCUUCUUUGGUUUUUAGGAAGGGUUUGGGGAGUAAAAAGGAUUCAGGUGAAGGAAACUCUUUAUUUGGUGGACAAUCUGAAGGGUUGGAGCAGGGCAGGGAUGGGACAAAUUAGUAAAACAAGAUCAGGAUAGAGACCUUUGUGUAGAUCUAACUUCCCAGGCCUAAUCCAGCCCCAUCAGGUGACAUCUCUUAAAUUUUGACGUUCAGGACCCCCACUCCCUCCUCCAUGUUCAGGCUGUCAGAAAGCUCUUCCCUGAGCCAUUUACUGAUAAGUCAGCUGGCCCCUUCUCUCAUUACCUCUACUUGGGCAUCCAAAACUCAGAGCCAGGUUAUUUAUAGUCAAGCUUACAGGGGGUGGAAGGGAAAGCUAGUGUUUACAAACACGGGGUCACCUGAGUCUGAGAGACUGGAACACGUGACCAACGCGUGGGUCAUAUGCAAAUUGUACGCAAACUAGCGAGUGCUCAAGUCACUUCUUAGCAACCAGGGACCCUCUUCCUGGUCUGGGGGCCCGGGCCUGGCUGGGUCAGGGCACCCUUGAUGGGGAGGCCGAAUCUCACAAGUUCCUCCCCCAGCCCAGGCCUUGCUCGGGGCCAAAGAGGGUCCUGGAGAAAAAACCUGCAGGCUCUGGGCAAGGCAGUUUCGUCCUCAGCCCCUCACCCUGCCCACGCUGGGUCUGUAGUUGCAGAAGACAGGUGUCGGGUUACAGCUGGGGCUAUAGUUAGCCGCAGAGACUUUGUUUAGCAGUUGGGGGACAGCGCUGCGCCCGCAGGAACUUUAGCCCCUUCUGGGUUCCUUCCCGCUUUCUGCCUCCACAACCUCCAGGCCCGCCCUUAGCCCCGCCCUCGUCCCACCUGGACCCUAGUCCACCCAAGGGACCCCUCACGCUGCGAGAGAGGAAGAGUGCUGGAGUCCAUCGAAGCCAGGAUUCCAACGCCGUGAGCCUCAUCUGGCUCCGGCAUGAUGCUGGCGGCUCUGCUGAUCACCCUCAGCCACCUGGGCUUCAAUACCCUCUUCCUGCAGGCCUAUGCUGUUCCUAUUCUGCCCCUGGGCCUGGCUCCAGACACCUUCGAUGAUGCCUAUGUGGGUUGCUUAGAGGAGAUGGAGGAGAAGGCAGCCCUCCUGCUAAAGGAGGAGAUGGCUCAUCACACCCUGCUGCGGGAAUCUUGGGAGGCAGCCCAGAAGGCCUGGGAACAUCAUCGUCAAGGGCUCACUCUCCCCCUUGGCUUCAAAGCCCAGCAUGGAAUAGCCAUUAUGGUCUACACCAACUCAUCUAAUACUUUGUACUGGGAGCUGAAUCAGGCCGUGCGGAUGGGCGGUGUCUCCCGUGAAUACUACAUGAGACACUUCCCCUUCAAAGCCCUGCAUUUCUACCUAACCAGAGCCCUGCAGCUUCUGCGGAGCCAUGGAGGCUGCAGUAGAGGACCUGGGGAGGUGGUGUUUAGAGGCGUGAGCAGCCUUCGGUUUGAACCCAAGAGGUUGGGAGAUUCUGUCCGCUUAGGCCAGUUUGCCUCCAGUUCCCUGGAUGAGUCAAUAGCCCGCAGGUUUGGUAAUGCCACCUUCUUCUCUCUAAGGACUUGUUUUGGGGCUCGUAUUCAGGCCCUAUCUGUCUUCCCUGAAGAACGUGAGGUGCUGAUCCCCCCCCAUGAAGUCUUCUUGGUCACUGGGUUCUCCCAGGAUGGACCCCGGAACCUAGUGACUCUCUGGAGCUAUAAUCGGACCUGCAGCCACUUUAACUGCGCAUUUUUGGGUGGGGAGAAGAGGCGGCGAUGUGUGCCUGGACCAGAAGUAGAGCAGCCAGAGUCUCCUUCCAAGGGGAACUUUUCUACUUUCCUAGAAAAUCCCACUCUUGGCUCCUGGGAGGUUCCAGUUCUCAAGAGCUGGGUCCUGAAAGUCCAACACCUGCCACUUAGGAAUCCUGGGAACUGGUGACCUUCAUAUGAAGAAGGGAGCUUCAAAUAGCCUUGAGAAGCAAGACCAUGGUUCUGGAUCCACCUCCAGCAGCCAUCUUCCAAAAGGGUGUGGGGAGACCUUAGGCCAUUGCAGGGUUGAGGGAAGCACACUAUCUGGUGGGGACUUCCUUGGACAAGCAAGGGAAAUACUGAUGGCGCCUCAAUUAAAUGGUGUCGCAGUAUGGAGACAUGGAAUUAUAUGAUUGGUUUAUUCCAUGAGACUGGACCAUCUGCCCUUGCCAGGCUCAGGGACUGAGGAAAUAAAAAAGAGUAACUUUCUGGUCACUCUGAGACAUGGUCUCCUGUCAGACCCCCAUCAUACACUUGAUCUUGCAAACUCAGAAGCUUUAACAGCCAGAGGGUCCUCACAGCACCCAGGAAGGCAGGAAAAGUGACAGAUGGAUUUCUCAGCGCUAUUUGUCUGAUGAGGAAUACAAGGCCAAGAGGGACUUAACUUGUUCAAGGUCAGAUAGGUAGUAUUGCAGCCAAACCUCUUGCUUCCCAGGCCUCCUGCCUCCUAGUCCAGAGCUCUUUUCCACCAAAGAUCUGAGGAAUCCCAAAGUAGAAUUCUAAGCCCAAAAAUAUCUGGAAGUCCAGAGCAAGCCAUUUCUUUCUACCCUGCUCACCCAGGGUUCAGAAGGAAGUGGAGGAAGGAUCUUAAAGCAUCAAGACACAGGAAUUCUCAUGUACUCCGUGGGCAUCUGAUGUCACCAGUAGUAACUUUAUUGAAGCAAGGAAAGCUCUUACUAAGUGAUCCUUGCCCCCAUCCAACUAUGGUGCUGAAUGUAGAGGAAGGGGCCUUUCCACUGCAUUAGGAAUCCCUAUUGGUCCCCAAAGCCUCUUGUGGGUCCAAGUCCCCAGCCCCUUCUUCUUCUUGCUCCCUGUGCACCAGCACAUGAGCUGGGGAGGAGAGGCCAGACUCUCCAGAAGCUGGAGCCCCAGCCUCUUCAGCAGUCUGAAGCCCAGUUUCCGAAGAGUCUUGGGUCCCCACAAUUCCUGACAUGGUCAGCUCUGGGGUCUCAGAGAUGGGGGGCCCCAGGUUUUGAAAGCUGUUGCGCACUCGGGUGAUAUAGCGACUGAGGAUACUGGCACCAUCAGGAGGCCGGGGCAUCCCUCCUGCUGCCAAGUUUCGACGAACACCAGCAACCUCGCUUUGUAGUCGAGACACAGUUUUGGUUAACUCUGUCAGUCUGUUGCCCAGGUCUGAGAGGUGGAACAUUGAGAAGGAUGUUUUUCAGAAGAUGAGCCUAUUCAGUAUUUCUUCUGUCCUCAACAGAACCCCAGAGGACACCUUGUUUGAGAUUCCUGAGGACCCAGGACUGGAAGAACUGAGGGGUCAGUGGUUCAGUGAGUGGACAGAAUCUGAGGUAGAUGAAGCUAAGUAGUGGUGGAGGUGGCUACUUUAGAGCUAUAAAGAAGGAAGGUCUUGUGGGUCAGAAAAGUCAAGAUGACUCAUGGGGAGGAAUUUUAAUUGGUAGGGAUUUGUACAUCUGCCCCAACAGCCCUCUCCCCAAUCUACACCUGGCCAGCUCAUUCCUGUCCUUCAGGCUUAGUUCAAAUUCUACCUGCCUUUUCUCCAACUUCUCCCUCUCAAAACAAUAGGCUUUUUCUGUCCUUUGGGUUCCCAGUGCAAUCUGUGUCUCUCUUUCUACCUAGUAUGAUGGCUUCUCCCCAUACUGAAAGCUUCCCUUGUAUGCCUGCUGUAUACAGUGCCCCUCCCUACAAGACAAGCCUAGAACAAGGGAGGACACAGCAACAAUCACAGGUUGAAUACGUAAUCUCUAUGUAGCGCUGUACCAGAGCCUUGAUGACACGAAGGCGGUAGGACCCACGCUCUCCCUCCCCAGGCCCAGGCCCUGCCCCUGCCCCCUGGUUGGCCUGGAAUGGGAAGACAGGAAGGUGAGAGAGAUUUCUCUACCCUCAGCCUUCCUCUAAUCACUGUGCCACCCCAGCAAUAAAGGACCAAGUCAAAGUUUGCGCAGACUUCUUUGUCCCUACAGGCCACACACCUAGACCUGGUCUGCCUCCACUUCACAGUGGAGUCCCAAAAGUGAGAAGGAUCGGGGCCAGAAGCUAGGGAAGGGUCGACUACGAGAGGCCCAUGGUAGUGGGUGGAAGCAAAGGCUAGGAGGUAGAGGAGAGAUAGGAGAACCCCCAAAAGACAUGGCAGUAACAUGAAGGGGCUGUUGUGCCCAACCAGACCAGGUUAGGGUACAGAAAAGCAGAGUAAGUGAGCCCCCUGGAUGCCCACCUUCCUCUCCCAGGUCUCUGUCAGCCUGAUAAUUUCCCAGUUGGUUGGACAUUUACCCGUGGCUUCUUAAAAUGUUUCUGAAAAACAUUCAGCCACAUCUUGGCCCAGUUUGUCUGGAACUUAGUAAGUAUCUGUAGCUUGGGAGGAGGGUGGCAUGAACUUCUAUUCACAUUGUAUAAUACAGCACUGGGAAUUUUAGGAAAUGACCAGAGCCAAGAAGAGGGAAAAGGAUGUUCUGGGAACAUAGCUGGAAGGAUAGCUAUGCCAGAGAUGUGCACACAAAUGGAUGGUAUACAGUUGAAGCCUGGUGUGAGAGGGCCAAUAAGUAGAUGAGGUACUCACAUAGGUGGGGAUUGGGGGAUAGUCUGGCUUCUUGGUUUUGCAGCAGGAGCAGCAACAGCAAAUAAACUGGAAAAUUCUCCUGAGAAAUUUCAAUGGUGGCAAGAGGUUAGUUACAGAACAGUUCUAGGGAAAUGAGGGCAGGAGGUCUGGGGAUGUGACUCAGUAGUAGAGUACUUUCCUAACAUGUACAGGGCCCAAUACAACAACAAAAAAUAAAAAAGAAAGAAAAGAAAAAUAAAUGGGGUAAGGAGCUGGGUAAUGUGUGGGGGCUGGGUGCUCAGGGGUUAGGGUGAGAGCUCUGAGGUCAUCACCUGAGAAGGUAGAAGAAGGCCUUGGGGGAGGGCAGGAUGUUGAAGGGCACAGGCAGAGUCAGGCCCUCUCGGAAAUAGGAUAGGUAGAGCUUAGAGCGAGCAAACUUCCACUCCACGUCAGCAUCAUCCUGGAGGCCAGGUGGCAAGGGACUGUGAAGGACUAGGUUAGCACCUGGCUUUCCUGCUCACUGAAUCUGCCUUCUCCCUCAGUCCUCACAUCUCUUACUCUCCAGUGUGUCAACCAUUCUCCCCAUUCUGGCUUCCAACUCCUUGGACACCCACCUCCCCCCUGCCUGUCUCCACCUUUCCUCUCUCCCUCCCCGUUAUCUCUUAUCCUCACAUCUUGAUCCUGCCCAGCCUGUUCUCCAGCAUGCAAACCAUAACCCUUCCCCUCCCUUGCCUCUCUCUUCUCAUGUUCCCAACUACUUUUCCACAAUGCACUCCUCCCCCUGACCUGAAAGAGGAAAGAGCACUAGACUUGAUGUCUAGAGACACUAACAGCAUUACCGGGACCUUCAUUUUUCAGAGGAGAAUUUAUCCAGAGCCACAAACAAGACCACAGAGGAGGCAGAGCAGGAACACAAGUGUCUUAACUCCUUGCACCUGCUCCUCUCCAUCCUUUCUCCCUUCUUCUAACUAGCUUAGGUUGACCUUGGUUCACGCACCUCGAUCUUCUGGAAGGAGUUGGUGAUCAUGGCAAUGAGCAUGUUGAGCAGCACAAUGACCAUGACGAUGGUAAAAAUGCCAUAGAGGGCCCGGCCUACAAAUUCAGGCACCAGAAACUGAGGCAUGUCCACCACACUGUGCUCCUCCAUGCCAAACAUGGUCCAGAACAGAAACUGGAAAGUCUCGUUGAAACUGGCAUGUGGGGUCAAGAAAAGGAUAGGAAAUGAGGGGUGAGGGAACAGCCUGGACUUUGCCCAGACACACUCUUCCUCACCCUCCAGGAUCCAGCCAGAGGUGUUCUGUAUUCAUGAAGUCCUUCUGGGGGAACGCUUGCCACUUCUUUUCUCUCUCUCUCUCUCUUUUUUUGGGGGUGUGUGUGUGUGUGUGUGUGUGUGUGUGUGUGUGUUGGGGGCUGAUACUGGUGAUUGAACUUAGGAACAUUCUGCCUCUGAGCUACAUACCCAGCCCUUUUUAAAACUUUGAGACAGGAUCUCACUAAGUUGCCCACCCUGGCCUUGAAUGUGGGAUCCUCCUGUAUCUGGGAUUACAAGUGUGUGCCACCAUAUUCUGCAACCUUGCCAUUUCUGGGAUUCAACUUUUAUUCUUUUAGUCAACAAAUAUUUAUUGAGCACACUGUAGAGUCAUAGGUGCUAAGAACACAUUGGUGAACAAGACAAGCAGUCUCUGUCUCCAAGGACCUUAUGUUCUGGGGUGAGGAUCACUCUGGGAGGUGACAUGGACAUUACUAACACUUGAUCUUAGCCAAAAUGCGGAGAAGUGAUAAGAUAAAGAACAUGCCCCAAAGCAGGGGUUAUGAACUUAGAGGGUUUAAAGAACUGAGAGGUCAGCAUGACUCAUCUCAGAGGGCAGAGUCUGGACCUCUGAGAGGGAAGAGAGGGAAGUAGGAUCCACCCAGAUAUAGGAACUCAGAGAGUAAAACCUAAGAUCCUUACCUUGCUCUGCAAACAAUAGGAAGCUAGAGUGAAUUCUAAGCAGAGGUGAUACCUGCUUUACAUUUGAAAAGAUCAUGUUGUGAGUAGAAUGCUGGUGAAAAGAUGGGAGUAGAGGUUUGGAGACCAGCUAAGAAAUUGUUAGGCUGCUGGUGUGGCUCAGUGGUAGGUCCCCAGCACUAAGAGAGAGAGAGAGGGAGAGAGGGGGUGGGGAGAGAGAGAGACAGAGACAGAGACAGAGAGAGAGAGAGAGAGAGAGAGAGAGAGAGAGAGAGAGAGAGAGGGGGAGAGAAUAUGAGGGAGAGAAACAGAGACACUGUUAUUGUGGUCUGGGUGGGAGAAGAUGGUAGUAUGAAGCCCAGUGAUAGCAACUUCAGUGCUGCCUCUUCCAGGAAGCCCUUUCUGAUCAGUCUUCCCUAAACACAGCAGAACAUGUUUAUCUGUUAGUCAUUCACAGUUCUCAUUACAUUUUUCUUCCUAUUGCACUUAUUUGUGAAUCUAUCUUGUUCCCUCUAUCUUGGUACCAUACAUGACCACAACCUCACACUGGAUCUGGUGUCUGGAUCAGUGUAAGGAUGUCCUUAACCUAAGAAGGGCCUUAGCCUAAGUACCUCCAUUUUGAAAUAAAACUGCAGUCCCCACCAGGUACGCCUAUGGAGCCCUCCAAUAUGGUCAUCAGGCAUAGCCUGAUUUUAAAAAGUCUCUUUCCACAACCCUGAUAAAACUGAGUGAAGUCUCUGUCAUUUGCUUUCGCAAAUGGCGAGAUUAGGGUGGAGACCACCAGACCAGAUGACUUGACAUCAGAACAAAAGAUGUCACUGAGAAACCCGGUAACAGCUGAUAGGGAUUGAAAGGGCGGUCAGAAACCCCCAAAUUUAGCAUAAAUCAUGGAGUGAAUGAACAUUCAGCCAGCCGACACUGCUGCACACAAGGCUGAGAGCCUGAGGACCUAGGACAUCCUAACUCUUCUCAUCUGCCUGAUCCUCUGCGUCAUCCUUAUCACUCUCAACUCUACAGCAGCCUCUUGAUUCUGGUGAGAAAAGGACUUCUCCUUAUGACCAUCACCUCAGCCAGCCAUCAACUCCACCCCAGGAGAAGCCUCUAUUGGUUCCUGACCUGGUUGCUACGGUCUGAGCGAGUGCAUCUCCUGGACUUGAGACCUAAGACUUAAAACUUUAAAUCUAGCACUUAAGCUUAGCAUGCAGAGGGAAUGUCUGUAAUAGGUCUGUCAUGAUUGAGUGCGUUUGCAGAGCUUAGAGUUAACUUAGAAUUAUUUGCUUUUAAUUGAUUAUGUCUUUUGCAAUGCCCACCAUUAAGGAUUGUCAUUUCUUGAUUAAGAACCUAUAGAGUGAAACUGUAUUAAGUGAUAUGAGUGAAUAAACAUUGAAAAGGGCA